rnacentral:rRNA from 1 species
UACGGAGGGUGCAAGCAUUAAUCGGAAUUAUUGGGCGUAAAGGGCGCGUAGGCGGAUGGGAAAGUCAGAUGUGAAAUUCCGAAGCUCAACUUCGGAGCUGCAUUUGAAACUUCCGAUCUUGAGGAAUGGCGGAGAAAAUGGAAUUCCACGUGUAGCGGUGAAAUGCGUAGAUAUGUGGAAGAACACCUGUGGCGAAAGCGGUUUUCUAGCUUAAUCCUGACGCUGAGGCGCGAGAGCAAGGGGAGCAAACAGG